AAAAUCUUGGACCACGUCCGCCAUGGUGCCGAGAAGACAGUUGAGAUGUUGGUGAAAUUCAAGCUCUUUGUGAGUUGACUGAGAAGAUUGCUGAAGGAUCUUACAUGGAAGCUGGCUGAUUAUAUUGAGUGAUUCCUUUGGUGUGGUGUACCUCAGAGAAAUAAACACUGUGGCAAGAGCUGAGAAGAUGACCAAGAUAUCCUUAUGGCUGGAUGGUAGCUCUCUGGUCGUUCUUGAGCCCCCUUGAUGGACCAUGUCUGCAAAUGCUUUGACGGAAUUUCUAAAGGUUAGCAACCAUUCACAAAUUUACACCUCAUGUAUGUGUUUCAAAUGCCAAAUGUCUUAACAGUUUGAAUCACACACUGUU